rnacentral:rRNA from 1 species
GCACAAGCGGAGGAACAUGUGGUUUAAUUCGAUGAUACGCGAGGAACCUUACCUGGGCUUAAAUGUAGAGUGCAUUUUCUAGAGAUAGGAAUUCCCUUCGGGGCUUUCUGCAAGGUGCUGCAUGGUUGUCGUCAGCUCGUGCCGUGAGGUGUCGGGUUAAGUCCCAUAACGAGCGCAACCCUUAUCGUUAGUUGCCAUCUGGUAAAGCAGGGGACUCUAGCGAAACUGCCACCGUAAGGUGAGAGGAAGGUGGGGAUGACGUCAAAUCAGCACGGCCCUUAUGUCCAGGGCUACACACGUGUUACAAUGGCCGGUACAGAGGGCAGCUACCUGGUGACAGGAUGCUAAUCUCGAAAACCGGUCUCAGUUCGGAUCGAAGUCUGCAACUCGACUUCGUGAAGCUGGAUUCGCUAGUAAUCGCGCAUCAGCCAUGGCGCGGUGAAUACGUUCCCGGGCCUU